rnacentral:rRNA from 1 species
UACGUAGGGUGCGAGCGUUGUCCGGAAUUAUUGGGCGUAAAGAGCUCGUAGGCGGUUUGUUACGUCUGCUGUGAAAUCCCGAGGCUCAACCUCGGGCCUGCAGUGGGUACGGGCAGACUGGAGUGCGGUAGGGGAGAAUGGAAUUCCUGGUGUAGCGGUGGAAUGCGCAGAUAUCAGGAGGAACACCGAUGGCGAAGGCAGUUCUCUGGGCCGUAACUGACGCUGAGGAGCGAAAGCUAGGGGAGCAAACGGG